GAUGAACGCUAGCGGCAGGCUUAAUACAUGCAAGUCGAGGGGCAGCAGGACGGUAGCAAUACCGUUGCUGGCGACCGGCAAACGGGUGCGGAACACGUACGCAACCUACCCAUAACUGGGGGAUAGCCCGGGGAAACCCGGAUUAAUAACUCGUAACCUUAUGAAGUGGCAUAGCGUUAUAAGUAUAGCUCCGGCGGUUAUGGAUGGGCGGGCGCCUGAGUAGGUAGUUGGCGGGGUAACGGCCCACCAAGCCUGCGAUCAGUAACUGGUGUGAAAGCACGACCAGUAACACGGGCACUGAGACACGGGCCCGACUCCUACGGGAGGCAGCAGUAAGGAAUAUUGGUCAAUGGACGCAAGUCUGAACCAGCCAUGCCGCGUGAAGGAUGAAGGUCCUCUGGAUUGUAAACUUCUUUUAUAGGGGAAGAAAUCUGAAUAUUCCUAUUCAGUUGACGGUACCCUAGGAAUAAGCACCGGCUAACUCCGUGCCAGCAGCCGCAGUAAAAC
rnacentral:rRNA from 1 species